UACCUUUCUCGGCCUUUUGGCUAAGAUCAAGUGUAGUAUCUGUUCUUAUCAGUUUAAUAUCUGAUAUGUGAACCAAUGGUUCACACGAUAUUAAAUUUAUUUUUUGAGGGGGAGAGUCCACCACAAUAGCUUGCUAUUGGGCUUCUCAAGUGUCGCUUUUGUGUUGCACUAUUGCAAUUGCCUGGCACACCCCACCAAAGAUGUCUUAAGGUUUUUUGUUUUCUUUUCAUGGGUAAGUACUUCUUUGAAUAAGUACUUAUGUUGGGUUUUUAACAUACGUACUCAUGUGUAAGUAUCCUUCUUACGAACUAGAGAUUUAGCAAUCAACUUAGUGGCUUUCACUCCUUGGUCUAUUGUCUAUCGACGCCCUGAUUCAGGUAGUUUUUUCAUCCCAGCAGCCUUGACCUGAUAUCAGGGUAUAUAAAACAGGAUUGAGACUAUGAUCUCCGGUUAAAUUAGCCACGUUCCAGCUAAAAGCUAGUCGAACUAGAGCUUGCAUUACGAGGGAGAAUUCUCCUGCUGGGAAUUAGAUCCUAAGCCCCAUGUUAAAGUAUUUAGUAUUGAUUUGUUUUUUGAUUAUUCAGUUUGCCGAAGCAUAUGAAGUUUCGGAUUCAAUUAUUGCUUUGUUAAUAUCUCCCUAAAUUACAAUUAAUCUUGUUAUAUAACUAAAAAAGAUGAUUGACAAAACCAGGGAUGCCCCGCGUGGUUACCUACAAAUCUUCCAAAGCUGAUCACGUAAGGACCCUUCACAUGAAUGUAACAGCAAAAUACUAACUAAUUUGACAUUGAAAUCGGAGGGUAAAAACUAGCUGCAGGAUAACAUAACUGUUCUGUUUUGGAUCUAAUGUAAGAUUACAAAGAAGCCAUAGCAAUCUACCAUGACUAAGCAAUGUAAGGUAUUCACAAUUUAGACGCAGCUGCUAAAUUUUGUUAACCAUCACGCAGAUGAGACGGUGGAAGCAGGUCCUCUGGAGAUUGUUACCGCGGUAAUAAGCAUUGUAUUCACUGUAAUAUACACUGACUGGGUCACACACCAUUGAUGUUUGCUUUAAGAAGCAAGGCUUUCCACCACAUUACCGAAAGAACAAUAAUGACGCCGGUACCACUGAAAAUGAAGAUGAUAACAAUUCAGGAUUUACACCAGAACAGUAAUUGACUAUGGAGCUUGGCUGCUAUCUGAACAGAAAUUGUUACACUACUUAGAGUAUAUGGUUGUUGCAUUGGAUUUUAAAAAGAAAGAAAUAGUAUACUAAUACUACACAUGGGUUAUAUGUCCCACAUCGGUUAGAUGCAAUAACAAGUGUUGAGGUUUUUGAUAUAAAACAAGAGUUCAUUCAUAUUACAACUCAUACCUUUCUCGGCCUUUUGGCUAAGAUCAAGUGUAGUAUCUGUUCUUAUCAGUUUAAUAUCUGAUAUGUGGGCCAAUGGUUCACACGAUAUUAAAUUUAUUUUUUGAGGGGGAGAGGCCACCACAGUAGCUUGCUAUUGGGUCUCUCAAGCGUCGCUUUUGUGUUGCACUAUUGCAAUUGCUUGGCGCACCCCACCAAAGAAGUCUUUUAAGUUUUUUGUAUCCUUUUAUAUGUUAAGUACUUAUUGGUAAUGUUAAGUACUUAUUUGUAUAAGUAAGGAAGUACUUAUGCCUUUAUUCGUGUUAAAUGGAUCUAUUUGAUUCCAUAUGACAUGAAGGAUCCAAUUAUGUGAUUGCUUGAGUCAAAGUUAUUUGAGGGAUGAAAUCAAGUUUUUGCACCUAUGAAAGUUCGAACACUUGUAUGCAUAACUCGCUUAUUUUGGUUUUUUAAACAAAGAAUCUGUUAAUUGUUGCCUCACUAAGAGAAUGGUGUCAUUUUAUUGUUCAUGUAUGAUUGGGAGACAGAGAGAUACAAAGAUAUAAUCAAGUCCGGCUCUGUAAAAGAUUUCUAUAUACUCCCUCUCCUAAUAUUCCACAUCCGUGAAUUGCGAAUAUAGUAUUUUCUGUUGAUAAGCUAUCAUUAAAUUAAAUUAAAUUACCUGUACAUGUUUGGUACAUGUAAAACCUAGACCAGGAGUUUUGAGAUUGAUGGAUGAAGCCAGAGAUGCCGUAAGAUAACUUUAUUUAUCAGUUAUAUAUUUUUGUACUGUUGUGAUAUCUAGUUUCAUUAUGCAAAGCAUAAACUUGGUUACCGUUAUUGAGAUAUCGGCUUGUAAGUUUGUCAUUUUCUGCUCAAUUGCUGUUGCAGGGAAAAAAAACUAGCUGUUUGUUCUGCAGCAACUAAAAGUUCAGUUAUUCUUUUUGUCUUGAAAACCUAAUUGGAACUGAGCGAUUUCGAAGCCUUGAUUGCUUCCUUGCUGGCGAUGAUGUGAAGGAAAAGAAACCCGACCCAUCAAUAUCUUGGGCAGCUUCAAAGGUUUUAAUAUGACAAUCCAUCAUGAACUAAGAAACGUGAAAUUAUGUCGUUUCUUUUUUGUGCAUAUAGCAAGUAAUUUAUAUAUUGUGCAUUGCAAAAGCUGGGUGUAUCCAAGAAAAACUGCUUGGUCGUAGAGGAUAGUGUUAUUGGUUUACAGGUAGAUAUCCGAGAAAAGUUGGAUCUAUUUGCUCAAUCAAUCUCUUUAUAUGUUUUGUGCAAAAGGAAAAUAAAAAUAAGACCACUAUCUUAGCUUGUGUUGGUAAGUUAGAGGGCAAUAAAAAUUGCUAUUUCUUAUUGUAGGCUUAAGUAAAUGAUAUGUCAAUUUACAGAUCUUCAUUUCACUCCUUAAUAUCUUGCUAAAUUGCAUUUAAUCAUACCGUUAAGUUAUCCAAACUUUGUUAACUGUGGUUUGAAGAGAGAAUUGUUAGGUUGCUGAAUUGGACAAUAGAAAGAAAGAAAUAAUAUACUACUCAUGAGUUCUAUGUCCCACAUUGGUUAGAUGGAAUAACAAGUACUGAGGUUUUUGAUAUAAAAGGACAGUUCUUUCUCUACACAAAUCAUACCUUUCUCGGCCUUUUGGCUAAGAUCAAGUGUAGUAUCUGUUCUUAUCAGCUUAAUAUCUGAUAUGUGGACCAAUGGUUCACACGAUAUUAAAUUUAUUUUUUGAGGGGGAGAGUCCACCACAAUAGCUUGCUAAUGGGCCUCUCUAGCGUCGCUUUUGCGUUACACUAUUGCAAUUGCUUGGCGCACCCCACCAAAGAAGUCUUAAUUAUUUUUGUUUUUUUUCUUGGGUAAUUACUUGUUUGAAUAAGUAUUCAUGCGUUGUCUUUCUCACAAAGGCUAAGAUCCUGUUGUUUAUACAUGUUUUUUAUGUAUUCAUUGACUGCUGAUGUAUACAUGGAUUCAAUUGAUUGCAAAAUGUAAUAAAAUUCAGUAUCCAUUGUUUGUAUUUUCAAUGCUUCCCAUCGAUUUCCCUUCAUAGUUUAUCAAAUUAGAGUGCAUCAAAGUUGAGAUGUUUUUAUUUUAUCAUUUUUCAUAUGAUUAGUUAGAUCCUUAAGAGAGCAUUUUUUUAGACAAGCAAAAUCUUAUCAUUUCAUUGAUAAUAACAUCGUGAAUACAAUUUGGUAUUCACUGUCAUAAACUUGGGGAUUAGCUGUAUAUGUAGCCACUCGAGCAAUAAACAUAUGUGGGGGUGUUGGAAGGUCCACCACGGUCUUCGAAUCUAACUAUAAUAAUAUAUCAUCAGCAUUGAAAUCCAUCUUCAAAGAAGUGGCACUCACAUUACACUUAAGCUUACCUGCUGAGGGUUUUUCUCCACCGAAUCUGACGAGAGCCAUCGAUUGCAGGCUGCCUUAGUGUGCUAUGACUUGCUGCACGUGGCUGCUUUGGAAAGACGAGGUCCUGUGACUAACUGUGGUGAUGUCCUCGGUUCCUUCCCAUAAAUGCAAAUUUUGACUAUGCCACGGGCUCCAUAUGCAACAAAUUCCACUGACUCCCAAUAUCUGUGUUGCUUCCAAAGAGGGAUUAAAUCUGGGCAAGACAUAAACAGAUGCCACACGGAUUCAGACUGCUGCUUGAUAAUGGACGUUGCACUCCUUUGUUUCUAAGGCGAGUUCUGGUAAGUAGGCAGCAGGUCUCCAAACACAUUCACUAUCCAAGGUUUGAAGAGACAAUUGUUAGACUUGGAUGGUUGCUGCAUUGGUCCAAUGGUCCACACGAUAUUAAAUUUAUUUUUUGAGGGGGAGAGUCCAUCACAGUAGCUUGCUAUUGGGCCUCUCAAGUGUCGCUUUUGCGUUUCACUAUUGCAAUUGCCAGGCACACCCCACCAAAGAAGUUUUAAAUCUUAUAUCACUAUUUUUUUUUUUAUAUGAUAUGUGAAUCUAGUUGAUUCAAUAUGACAUGAAGAAUGUAACUAAGUGAUUGCUUGAGUCAACUUUAUUUGGAUUGAGGAAACAAGCUUAUGCAACUAUGAUAAUAACUCACUUGUUUUGAGUGGUAACACUGAAGGCCCUGUCAAUUGUUGCCUCACUUAGAGAAUUACACAUUCCUGGGAUGGAUGAGGCCAGAGAUGCUGUAAGGCGAUGACGUGAAGGAAAAGAAGCCGGAUCCAUCAAUAUAUUUGACAGAUUCCAAGGUUUUAAUAUGACAAUACCAUAAAACCCACUUGGGGUUGGUCUAAUGGUGUUGGUUUGGGUCCUUGGAGUAUGCUCCUCUCAAGGUCUCAGGUUCGAUUCCCCCUGGUGCCAAUUUCGGUGGGCUAAGUCCAUACAUAGCAAAAAAACUCUGGCUUUAAAUGGGCCCCGCAAGUGGGCGGUGGGAUUGGUCCCCUUGGAUUAGUCGGUCCUAAGGCCGGAUACCAAGUUUUAAAAAAAAAUAAAAAAUGACAAUACCAUGAAAAACAUAAAAAUGUGAAAUUCCAAGGUUUCUGUUUUGUAUCAAGUGCCAACAGACCAAGUAUAAUUUUUAUGUUAUCAGAAAAAAAAAACUGCUUGGUGUUAGAGAAUAUUGUUAUUGGUUUAUAGGUAGAUCUUCUCAUGUUAUCAAUACCCAUGUUUUCAGUAGGAAUUUCCGAGUUUGAUCUCGAAAACUAACAUAAAUGAAGAUGAUAACAAUUCAGGAUUUACACCAGCACAGAAAUUGGCUAUGUAGCUUGGCAGCUAUCUGAACAGAAAUUGUUAGACUACUUAGAGUAUAUGGUUGCUGCCUUGGAUUUUAAAAAGAAAGAAAUAGUAUCUACUACACAUGAGUUCUAUGUCCCACAUCGGUUAGAUGUAAUAACAAGUACUGAGGUUUUUUAUAUAAAACAAGAGUUCAUUCUCUUAUCAAAUCAUACCUUUCUCGGCCUUUUGGCUAAGAUCAAGUGUAGUAUCUGUUCUUAUCAGUUUAAUAUCUGAUAUGUGGGCCAAUGGUUCACACGAUAUUAAAUUUAUUUUUUGAGGGGGAGAGUCCACCACAAUAGCUUGCUAUUGGGCCUCUCAAGUGUCGCUUUUGUGUUGCACUAUUGCAAUUGCCUGGCACACCCCACCAAAGAAGUUUUAAAUCUUAUCUCACUAAAUUGCAUUUAAUCAUGUUAUGAUGUCAUGCUAUGAAUUGGAUAUAGUUUAUUCAAUAUGACAUGAAGUAUCUAAUGAAGUGAUUGCUAGAGUCAAAGUUUUUUGGAUUGAGGAAACAAGCUUAUAUGCGCCUAUGAAAGUUCCAACACUUGUGUGCUUAUGUUGCCUGCAUAACUAACAAACUUAUUUUGACAUUUAAACACAGAAGACCCUGUCAAUUGUUUCUUCACUUAGAGCAUUGCACAUUCCUGGGUUAUGGAUGAGACCAGGGAUGCUGUAAGGAGGGAUAAAAUCUAGCUGUUCGCAACUAAAAGUUCUGUUAUUCUUUGUCUCGAAAACAAUUGUAAUUGUAAGCUCAAUUUUGUACGUGUCCUCGCUAUUGGGAGGAAUUUCUUUAUUAAUUUGUGUUCAAAGCCUUGAUUGCUUCCUUGCUGGUGAUGGCAUGAAGGAAAAGAAGCCGGAUCCAUCAAUAUAUUUGACAGUUUCCAAGGUUUUAUUAUGACAAUACCAUCUUUGUCAAAAAAAAAAAAAAUACGACAAUACCAUCAAAAACAUAAAAAUGUGAAAUUCCAAGGCUUUUGUUUUGUAUCAAGUGCCAACAGACCAAGUAUAUUUUUUAUGUUAUCAGAAAAAAUGCUAAGGUAUAGACCAAGUUAGAGGGCUAGGGAAAAAAUGCUACGCGUGGAUAGCUUGGUUGGUGAGCUAAGGGACAUUGAAGGAGUUUUCAGAAGGAGGUCCCGAGUUUGAUCUUGAAAACUAACAUAAAAGAAUUACUAAUUUCUAACAUUUUUCUAUCAAGAAAAAUUAAAAGAAAAGAAAGAGGGCAAGGAAAAUUAUUGACGAGAUCUGACGAGAUCCAUCGAUCGCAGGCUGCCUGGGUGUGCUAUGACUUGCUGCAUGCGACUGCUGCAGAAAGACGUGGCCGUGUGACUAACCGCGGCGACGUCUUCGGUUCCUUCACAUAAGUGCAAAUUUUGACUAUGCCACCGGCUCCGCAGCAGAUAACAUCAGUUACUGCAUUGAAAAUGCAACAAAGUUGCUGCAAAUUUGAAGAAUCAGUGCAAGCUGUUUCAUGGAGAAGAACAAACUCCACUGACUCCCAAUAUUCGUUGCUGGCUUAAGUAAAUGAAAUUUCAAUUUAAUAAUCUUCGUUUCGCUCCUUAUCUUGCCGAAUUGCGUUUAAUCAUGUUACGAAUAUUGUUAUCCUGACUUUGUUAAACACAUUCACUAUCCAAGGUUUGAACAGACAAUUGUUAGACUUGGAUGGUUGCUACAUUGGAUUUUAGAAAGAAAGAAAUAUUAUACUACUCAUUAUUAUGUCCCACAUUGGUUAGAUGGAAUAACAAGUGCUCAGGUUUUUGAUAUAAAAGGACACUUCAUUCUCUUUGCAAAUCAUACCUUUCUCGGCCUUUUGGCUAAGAUCAAGUGUAGUAUCUGUUCUUAUCAGUUUAAUAUCUGAUAUGUGGACCAAUGGUUCACACGAUAUUAAAUUUAUUUUUUCAGGGGGAGAGGCCACCACAGUAGCUUGCUAUUGUGUCUCUCAAGCGUCGCUUUUGUGUUGCACUAUUGCAAUUGCAUGGCGCACCUCACCAAAGAAGUGUUCAAGUUUUUUUCUCCUUCCAAUGGGAAACUACUUAUUUGAAUAAGUAGUUGACAAAUAAGUACAUCCAGUUAGGUUUUAAACAGUUGCUGGAAAUUAUUUGAAGGUUGGACUGUAUUGGUUAUUUGGAUUGAAUCCUUUAAUUAUUUGAAUGGUUAUUUUGGCUUCGGACUCUUGCAUUGUAGUUUGAAAUAUUUGCAUUUGUUACUUCAAGAUAUUGUAGUUGCUAAAUAGAAGAAUUGUUUAUGACUUAGAAUGUUACUAUAUAGGAUAUAUGAUAAGAUGCCUUAAAUUGAUUUCUGUGAGGCUAAGAUCCUGUGUUUUUUUCUUUCUUUCUUUUACAUGUUUUACGUGUAUUCAAUUCAUUGCAAAAUGUAAUGAGGUUCGUUUGGAAUUAAUUGUAUUGUGAGAUUCAUACCGAACAUUUCCAUGAUCUUAACCUUGUGAUAAAUGAGAACUCGGAUUCUACCGA